GAUGAACGCUGGCGGCGUGCUUAACACAUGCAAGUCGAACGAAACACCUUAUUUGAUUUUCUUCGGAACUGAAGAUUUGGUGAUUGAGUGGCGGACGGGUGAGUAACGCGUGGGUAACCUGCCCUGUACAGGGGGAUAACAGUCAGAAAUGACUGCUAAUACCGCAUAAGACCACAGCACCGCAUGGUGCAGGGGUAAAAACUCCGGUGGUACAGGAUGGACCCGCGUCUGAUUAGCUGGUUGGUGAGGUAACGGCUCGCCAAGGCGACGAUCAGUAGCCGGCUUGAGAGAGUGAACGGCCACAUUGGGACUGAGACACAGCCCAAACUCCUACGGGAGGCAGCAGUGGGGAAUAUUGCACAAUGGGGGAAACCCUGAUGCAGCGACGCCGCGUGAGUGAAGAAGUAUUUCGGUAUGUAAAGCUCUAUCAGCAGGGAAGAAAAUGACGGUACCUGACUAAGAAGCCCCGGCUAACUACGUG
rnacentral:rRNA from 1 species